rnacentral:rRNA from 1 species
CCUACGGGAGGCAGCAGUGGGGAAUAUUGCACAAUGGGGGAAACCCUGAUGCAGCGACGCCGCGUGAGUGAAGAAGUAUUUCGGUAUGUAAAGCUCUAUCAGCAGGGAAGAAAAUGACGGUACCUGAUUAAGAAGCCCCGGCUAACUACGUGCCAGCAGCCGCGGUAAUACGUAGGGGGCAAGCGUUAUCCGGAUUUACUGGGUGUAAAGGGAGAGUAGAAGGCAGCACAAGUCUGGAGUGAAAUGCCGGGGCUUAACCCCGGAACUGCUUUGGAAACUGUGCAGCUUGAGUGCAGGGGAGGUAAGUGGAAUUCCUAGUGUAGCGGUGAAAUGCGUAGAUAUUAGGAGGAACACUAGUGGCGAAGGCGGCUUACUGGACUGUAACUGACGUUGAGGCUCGAAAGCGUGGGGAGCAAACAGGAUUAGAUACCCUUGUAGUC